rnacentral:rRNA from 1 species
GACGAACGCUGGCGGCGUGCUUAACACAUGCAAGUCGAACGGAAAGUCCCUGCUUUUGUGGGGUGCUCGAGUGGCGAACGGGUGAGUAACACGUGAGUAACCUGCCCUUGACUUUGUGAUAACUUCAGGAAACUGGGUCUAAUACCUGAUAUGAUCUCCUGCUGCAUUGUGGGGGUUGGAAAGUUUCGGCGGUUGGGGAUGGACUCGCGGCUUAUCAGCUUGUUGGUGGGGUAGUGUCUUACCAAGGCUUUGACGGGUAGCCGGCCUGAGAGGGUGACCGGCAACAUUGGGACUGAGAUACGGCCCAGACUCCAACGGGAGGCAGCAGUGGGGAAUAUUGCACAAUGGGCGGAAGCCUGAUGCAGCAACGCCGCGUGCGGGAUGACGGCCUUCGGGUUGUAAACCGCUUUCGCCUGUGACGAAGCGUGAGUGACGGUAAUGGGUAAAGAAGCACCGGCUAACUACGUG